rnacentral:rRNA from 1 species
AGAGUGAACGCUGGCGGUAGGCCUAACGCAUGCAAGUCGAACGGCAGCACAGUGGUAGCAAUACCAUGGGUGGCGAGUGGCGGACGGGUGAGGAAUACAUCGGAAUCUACCUUUUCGUGGGGGAUAACGUAGGGAAACUUACGCUAAUACCGCAUACGCCCUUUGGGGGAAAGCCGGGGAUCGCAAGACCUGGCGCGGAUAGAUGAGCCGAUGUCGGAUUAGCUAGUUGGUGAGGUAAUGGCUCACCAAGGCGACGAUCCGUAGCUGGUCUGAGAGGAUGAUCAGCCACACUGGAACUGAGACACGGUCCAGACUCCUACGGGAGCAGCGAGUAGGGGGAAUAG